ACAAUUUAAAGUAAAAACUGCAGUAAAAUUUUAGAAAGUAAAUUUCUGAUUUCAUAGUCUUUAAUAAUUCUGGGCUUAGAGUCAUGUGACUUUCUAAAAAUUACAUUAAUGGUUUUGACAAUAGUUGAAAAAGCUAUAAUGGCCUAGCCUGUAGCCAAAAGUAGAUGCAGUAUGUUAUAUUAUUUUUAAACCCUAAUAAUAAUACUUAGGUUUUCAGUUUUUAUAUUCUAAGGAUGCCCCACUAUCCCAAAGUUAACAAACAAGAUACACUUUAAUCUGUAUGUUUUUGAAAAAGAAAUUAGUUAAAGACAGUGUGUCUCAGUCUUUGAGACAGUUAUCAUAAAAAUAUUUCAUUCAAAGUUCUAGUAGAGCGUUUGCCAAAUUACAGUUCACAUAUUUUCUUGUCUCUGCCCUUCAAAGGCAGAGGUUUUCUAUCAUUAAUUGUUUUUUGUUUUGUUUUGUUUUGUUUUUAAAAAUUAUUUUUUGUUCCUAGCAUAGUAUGGUGUAUUGUAAAGGUGUAUUAAUUGUUUUUUAAAGCCUUAGGAUGAAUAUUGUUGAGUGGAAUAGAAGUAUUACAGAUUAUUUGUUUCAAUUUUGUUUCUUUUUUGUAUUGGGGUAAAAUUUUUUUAAAAGAUUUCAUAGCAAAUGUUUUUCAAAUUAUAUUUUACUUAAAAAACUAGUUCUUUGAGAAAUUCUGAUCAAAUGAAUUUGGGCUGAGCUGGAUCUCAUAUCUCCCUCUUAGAUGGUUUUAAUUUAGGUUAGGAUAUUAAAAACUUGAGAAGUCUUACAGUAAAGAAACCCCUUUAAGGUUGCUUCCAGCCAUACCUCAGACUAGAUACUCUGGGGGCCACUUCUACUUGAAACGAAUUGGAUCCUAAAUUUUAAAAAAUAUUGUAGAUGUAUUUCUAGACUGAGAAAAUGGGAAAUACUACUCAAAAAGAAACAAAGUAUAAGGCAAAACCAAAGAUAAGAGCAGUGAUGGUAGGCAAGUAGUAAAGGAUCAAGUAGCCCUGCAGGUAGAUGCCAGUAGCUAUAAUUCCCUUUAUAUAGAAAACUAAGCUUUGAGCCAGUGUAUUUCUCAGUAGCAAUAUUGGCAGCUAAAGGCCAGUAGAAUAAUAUCUUUAAACUUCUGAAAGAAAAUGUGUCAGUCAGCUUUCUGUUACUAUAAGAAAGUUUGGAGAUUUCAGUCUGUGAUCGAUUGGCCCCGUUUGCUUUGGGCUUGUGGUGAGACAGCACAUCAUGGUAAAAAUGUCUCGUGGAACAAAACUGCUCACCUCAUGGCCAAGAAGAGAAGAGUGGGGUCUUGUGAGCCCUUUUAAGGGCACGCCCUCAGAGACUUACAGACUUCUCACUAGGCUUCACCUCUUAAAGUUUCCAGCACUUUUAGAUCCAAGCUAUAACAUUCAGUUUCAAUUAG
rnacentral:lncRNA from 1 species